GAUGAACGCUAGCGGCAGGCCUAAUACAUGCAAGUCGAGGGGUAACAGGGGUAGUAAUAUCUGCUGACGACCGGCGCACGGGUGCGUAACACGUAUACAAUCUGCCUUUAACAGGGGGAUAGCCCGGAGAAAUCCGGAUUAAUACCCCACUAACAAUGGAAGAAGCAUUUCUUCUAUUUAAAGACUCAGGCGGUUAGAGAUGAGUAUGCGUCUGAUUAGCUAGUUGGUAAGGAACGGCUUACCAAGGCAACGAUCAGUAGGGGAUCUGAGAGGAUUAACCCCCACCACGGA
rnacentral:rRNA from 1 species